UACGUAGGGUGCGAGCGUUGUCCGGAAUUAUUGGGCGUAAAGAGCUCGUAGGCGGUUUGUCGCGUCGACUGUGAAAACCUACAGCUUAACUGUGGGCUUGCAGUCGAUACGGGCAGACUUGAGUUCGGUAGGGGAGACUGGAAUUCCUAGUGUAGCGGUGAAAUGCGCAGAUAUCAGGAGGAACACCGGUGGCGAAGGCGGGUCUCUGGGCCGAUACUGACGCUGAGGAGCGAAAGCCAGGGGAGCAAACGGG
rnacentral:rRNA from 1 species